AGGGAAUAUUGGACAAUGGGGGCAACCCUGAUCCAGCCAUGCCGCGUGAGUGAAGAAGGCCCUCGGGUUGUAAAGCUCUUUUGUCCGGAAAGAAAAGCUUCGGGUUAAUACCCCGGGGUUCUGACGGUACCGGAAGAAUAAGCACCGGCUAACUUCGUGCCAGCAGCCGCGGUAAUACGAAGGGUGCAAGCGUUACUCGGAAUUACUGGGCGUAAAGCGUGCGUAGGUGGUUGUUUAAGUCUGAUGUGAAAGCCCUGGGCUCAACCUGGGAAUGGCAUUGGAAACUGGGCAGCUAGAGUGCGGUAGAGGGUAGUGGAAUUCCCGGUGUAGCAGUGAAAUGCGUAGAGAUCGGGAGGAACAUCUGUGGCGAAGGCGACUGCCUGGACCAGCACUGACACUGAGGCACGAAAGCGUGGGGAGCAAACA
rnacentral:rRNA from 1 species